CCUACGGGUGGCAGCAGUGAGGAAUAUUGGUCAAUGGACGAGAGUCUGAACCAGCCAAGUAGCGUGAAGGAUGACUGCCCUAUGGGUUGUAAACUUCUUUUAUAUGGGAAUAAAACGUUCCACGUGUGGGAUUUUGUAUGUACCAUAUGAAUAAGGAUCGGCUAACUCCGUGCCAGCAGCCGCGGUAAUACGGAGGAUCCGAGCGUUAUCCGGAUUUAUUGGGUUUAAAGGGAGCGUAGGUGGAUUGUUAAGUCAGUUGUGAAAGUUUGCAGCUCAACCGUAAAAUUGCGGUUGAAACUGGCAGUCUUGAGUACAGUAGAGGUGGGCGGAAUUCGUGGUGUAGCGGUGAAAUGCUUAGAUAUCACGAAGAACUCCGAUUGCGAAGGCAGUUCACUGGACUGCAACUGACACUGAGGCUCGAAAGUGUGGGUAUCAAACAGGAUUAGAUACCCUGGUAGUC
rnacentral:rRNA from 1 species